CUUUCACAUCCUGAUCUGCAUGUUCUACUCAGCUAGUUACCAUGUAAUGGAAACAUUCAGCCUAAAAUAGACUUUCAUGAAAAUGAGUAAUGGAGCACAAUCAUGUUUUAAAAGACAGAAAAGCAGACUGGCCCUUGGGAUAUCAGUUCUUCUAAACGUUGCACUAAUAAUUACAAUCAUCGGUAUUUCAGCUAAGAAUACAUCUGAUUGUUACAAAAGAAACAAUCAAAAUAUUCCUCUCGUGAUUCGAAAUGUAGAUAACGAGACGUUGGCCGGUUUGGAAAUGACAAAUCACAGUACAAUAUACUAUAAUACAAGGGAGAAAAAUUUCUCUAUAUGUCUUCCUAUAAACGACUAUAGACAUGUGAUGUCCAAGAGAUGCAACACGUACAAGCUUCCACCAAAAGAUCCAUAGCUAAAAUGAUGAUUUCACCAUAUACUGAUAUUGUAUUUGUCAAUUCUAUAUCAAGAUAUUAAACAUGUGUUUUUAUACGCCCGUUUACGGGACGUAUUAUGGUAUACCGUUGUCCGUCUGUCCGCCCGUUCGACUGUCCGUUGUCAACAUGUCGGGCAUUAACUCAAAAACUCUUUAACCAAUUUGCAUAAAACUUUAGUGAAUUGUUUAUAUCUAUUGACGUGAGCUCCCUUUCGUUUUUGAUAAAUUUUAGAUUUUAUGUUUCAGAGUUAUGGGGUUUUAUUCAUUAAAAAAAGGGGGAUUUUCAAGUUUUCGGACAAUAACUCCAGAAUGCUUUCACCAACUUGCAAGAAAUUUUGGUUAAUUGUUUAUAUCUUUUAACAUGAGCUCCCUUUGGAUUUUUAUAAAUUUUAGAUAUUACGUUUCCGAGUUACGGGGUUUUAUUCAUAAAAAAAGGGGGAUUUUCCAGUUUUCGGACAAUAACUCAAAAAUGCUUUCAGCAGUUCUCAUGAAACUUUGAUGAAUUGUUGAUAUCUAUUGACUAUAUGAUGUAAGCUACAUUUAGAAUUUUAUAGAUUUUAGAUUUUACAUUUCCGAGUUAUCGGGUUUUAUUCAUUAAAAAAGGGGGGAUUUUCCAGUUUUCGGACAAUUACUCAAAAAUGGUUCAGCAAUUCUUAUGAAACUUUGGUGAAUUGUUUUUAUCUAUUGAUGUAAGCUCCCUUUAAAAUUUUAUAAAUCUUAUUUGUUUAUAGUCUGACAACAGAUUUACUAAGUAUUGCGCAACAGCACAGUGUAUUGCACACCAGCAAGAAAUUUUUAAUUGAAUAUAAAUUCAAUUCAUAUAACCAAUUUCAAGUUCUUUGACUACAUUUAUUCAGAAACCUAUAAUAUGUCAAAUAUUUAAUUACAAUCCAAAUUCAGACCUGUAUCAAGCUUGAAUAUUGUGUUCAUUUUUGCCCCAACUGUUCAUGGUUGUAUCCAGCUGCGCUCAGCGAAGCAGUUUAUUACAAGUAUUGAUACUGUCUCUUUCUUUUAAUUUCAUAUCAAUAUGAAGAACUUAUUUAGUAAUCUCAAGGUUUUUUUAAAUCCUUUGCUAAACAAUGUGCAUUUCUGUUAUCUUUUGUUGAAUAUAUUUUUUUAAGCUUUUGUUAAUUUUGCAAUCCACUUUAAUCCUGUAAUGAUGUAAUAUUAUUUUUCCGUAAUGUUUAACACCGAUAAAUUGUUAUAUCGUGACAAUGCAUAGACAAUCCAUUUUACUUGUAUUCUAAAAAUAUUAUUUACCUGUAUAUUAAACAGUACAAAUUGGAAUUUGGUAGGAUCCAGCAUCACCCUCCUAGUACACAUUAGAAUUCCCACAUCUACUAGUAGAAAUUAGAUUUCGGAUUUAUACUAUUUAAAAGCCAGUACAAAUCAAAAUUACAAUAUGUACUGCUAGAAAUUUAGGGAUAUCCAGAUAUGUACUAGGAGGAUCCUUGGAUCAUGGUUCAGGAUAUCAACAUAAACUAUAAUUAGUAUGAUUUUGGAUUGUACUUGAUUUAUGUUUUACUUAUUAUUUUUACUGAUGUACUUCACAAAAAAAAGUACGAAUUUCCUUAAGUUGAGCUAUAUAGUCCAUUGUUACUACAUUUACUAAUCAAAAGUGGGCAGAACAAAAUAAGCAUGAUAAAGACUUUUAUGACUUGUGGCUGAAGACAGAUAACGGGUAAAAUUUUAACAAAAUAAAGGUACACAAAAUUAUCCUGUUUUUGAACCACUCACAGAGUCAAAGAAACAAUUUUAGAUAUUCCCUCAAAAUCAAAGUGUCAUUUCACCGGUUUCAGUCAGCUCUUCAUUUCACCGGUUUCAGGCAGCUCUUCUGGUUUCAGUCAGCUCUUCAUUUCACCGGUUUCAGUCAGCUCUUCAUUUCACCGGUUUCAGUCAGCUCCUCAUUUCACCGGUUUCAGUCAGCUCUUCAUUUCACCGGUUUCAGUCAGCUCUUCAUUUCACCGGUUUCAGUCAGCUCCUCAUUUCACCAGUUUCAGUCAGCUCUUCAUUUCACCGGUUUCAGUCAGCUCUUCAUUUCACCGGUUUCAGUCAGCUCCUCAUUUCACCGGUUUCAGUCAGCUCUUCAUUUCACCGGUUUCAGUCAGCUCUUCAUUUCACCGGUUUCAGUCAGCUCUUCAUUUCACCGGUUUCAGUCAAACACCUGUUUCUUAAAUUCGAUUCUUUGUUAAUAUUAUGUGAAAUAGCAAAAAAAAUGAUAUGCAAUGUCCUUUUAUACUAAAACUUUUACACGAUAAAAGCUCUCACAUAGUGUCAUUUUUUGACAAAACGAUUAAAAGAGGCACCACUGAUAUAUUACGAAUACGCUGAUUAACUAAAUUUUGGUUAAAUCCAUUCGCUAAAACUAUUAAUUUUAAAAUUGACCGAAGCUUUUGCAGUAGUACUAGAAGGAGGAAUGGUCUUGAAAUAUCAGUCAACACAAUGCUCACGGAUUUAAAAUUUUAAGACCCUACGCAAUGCAUUUUUCAAGGAAAGAAUUGUUCAUCUUAUAAAAGUUUAUUACGCUUGUGUUUUGACCCGAAGAAGUCUUUCUUCUUCAAUUUCUUAAAAAAAUCUUAAUAAGUUCUGAAUAUGCAUUUAAUUUUUUUAUUUACAGUUUCAAGUUUAUAAAAAAAGAAUGUAUUUGCUAUUUUUUUUAACCGCCUCGGUGGUAUCGUGGUAGCGUGUUUGCCUAUAGUGCGGGAGGUCGUGGGUUCGAAGCC